GUGAAUCAUCGAAUUUUUGAACGCAAAUUGCGCCCUUUUCGGAGGGCAUGUCUGUUUGAGGGCAACAUUUAACAAAAAAUGUGAAUUUCGUGUGCACACGUUGAUGAGCUUUCCAAAUUUAUGUAUUAUUUUUGGUGGCGCAUAAUAAAUAGCGCGAAGCAUUUUUUCAGUUAGAGCGAAGUAAAUUUUUUUAUUGCUUGGGUUGUGAAUAGUGUGAUCGCGCAA
rnacentral:misc_RNA from 1 species